rnacentral:rRNA from 1 species
AGAUUGAACGCUGGCGGCAUGCCUUACACAUGCAAGUCGAACGGCAGCACGGGAGCAAUCCUGGUGGCGAGUGGCGAACGGGUGAGUAAUACAUCGGAACGUGCCCAAUCGUGGGGGAUAACGCAGCGAAAGCUAGUGCUAAUACCGCAUAAGAUCUACGGAUGAAAGCAGGGGAUCGCAAGACCUUGCGCGAAUGGAGCGGCCGAUGGCAGAUUAGGUAGUUGGUAGAGGUAAAGGC